UACGGGGGGAGCAAGCGUUGUUCGGAUUUACUGGGCGUAAAGAGCUCGUAGGCGGUCUGUCGCGUCGGAUGUGAAAGCCCGGGGCUUAACCCCGGGUCUGCAUUCGAUACGGGCAGACUAGAGUGUGGUAGGGGAGAUCGGAAUUCCUGGUGUAGCGGUGAAAUGCGCAGAUAUCAGGAGGAACACCGGUGGCGAAGGCGGAUCUCUGGGCCAUUACUGACGCUGAGGAGCGAAAGCGUGGGGAGCGAACAGG
rnacentral:rRNA from 1 species